rnacentral:rRNA from 1 species
AUUGAACGCUGGCGGCAUGCUUUACACAUGCAAGUCGAACGGUAACAGGCCGCAAGGUGCUGACGAGUGGCGAACGGGUGAGUAAUGCAUCGGAACGUGCCCAGUCGUGGGGGAUAACGCAGCGAAAGCUGCGCUAAUACCGCAUACGAUCUAUGGAUGAAAGCGGGGGACCGUAAGGCCUCGCGCGAUUGGAGCGGCCGAUGUCAGAUUAGGUAGUUGGUGGGGUAAAGGCUCACCAAGCCAACGAUCUGUAGCUGGUCUGAGAGGACGACCAUCCACACUGGGACUGGGACACGGCCCAGACUCCUACGGGAGGCAGCAGUGGGGAAUUUUGGACAAUGGGCGCAAGCCUGAUCCAGCAAUGCCGCGUGCAGGAAGAAGGCCUUCGGGUUGUAAACUGCUUUUGUACGGAACGAAACGGUCCUGGUUAAUACCUGGGGCUAAUGACGGUACCACCAGAAGAAGCCCCGGCUAACUUCGUGCCAGCCGCCGCCGUAACAC